CCUGAAGAUACCUUCCUGUGCAGUGUCCACACAGAUUGUCUGAUAGAAGUAAUGAGCAAAGUCAGACCAGAGUCCCCAUCGUCUAGAGGCCCAGGACACUGCCCUUUCACGGCUGUAACAGGGGUUCGAAUCCCCUUGGGGACGCCAUACCGGUAACGAAGUGAAAGACGUUAUCACCCGUAUCUCAAAACUGAUUCCGCGAAAGCGAGUCACGUUUGAGAUAUUGCUCUUUAACAAUCCGGAACAAGCUGAAAAUUGAAACGACAUGUCGUGUUCAUUCUCCGUAAUAAGAAUGAAACCACGAUAUGUUCGAGUCUCUCAAUGCCUGCAACCGACACACGUCUUUCGGGACGCUUGUGGGUUGUGA
rnacentral:misc_RNA from 1 species